GAUGAACGCUGGCGGCGUGCCUAAUACAUGCAAGUCGAACGCUGAAGGAGGAGCUUGCUCUUCUGGACGAGUUGCGAACGGGUGAGUAACGCGUAGGUAACCUGCCUGGUAGCGGGGGAUAACUAUUGGAAACGAUAGCUAAUACCGCAUGACAACAGUUAUUGCAUGAUAACUGUUUAAAAGGGGCAACUGCUCCACUACCAGAUGGACCUGCGUUGUAUUAGCUAGUUGGUGAGGUAACGGCUCACCAAGGCGACGAUACAUAGCCGACCUGGGAGGGGGGUCGGCCACACUGGGACUGGGACACGGCCCAGGCUCCUACGGGAGGCAGCAGGAGGGAAUCUUCGGCAAUGGGCGGAAGUCUGACCGAGCAACGCCGCGGGGGUGAAGAAGGGUUUCGGAUCGUAAAGCUCUGUUAUAAGGGGAGAACGAGUGUGGGAGUGGAAAGUUCACGCUGUGACGGUAUCUUACCAGAAAGGGACGGCUAACUACGUG
rnacentral:rRNA from 1 species